UACAGAGGUCUCAAGCGUUGUUCGGAUUCAUUGGGCGUAAAGGGUGCGUAGGCGGCGCGGUAAGUCGGGUGUGAAAUCUCGGGGCUUAACUCCGAAACUGCAUUCGAUACUGCCGUGAUUGAGGACUGGAGAGGAGACUGGAAUUUACGGUGUAGCGGUGAAAUGCGUAGAUAUCGUAAGGAAGACCAGUGGCGAAGGCGGGGUCUCUG
rnacentral:rRNA from 1 species